GACGAACGCUGGCGGCGUGCCUAAUACAUGCAAGUAGAACGCUGAAGGAGGAGCUUGCUUCUCUGGAUGAGUUGCGAACGGGUGAGUAACGCGUAGGUAACCUGCCUGGUAGCGGGGGAUAACUAUUGGAAACGAUAGCUAAUACCGCAUAAUAGUAGAUGUCGCAUGACAUUUGCUUAAAAGGUGCACUUGCCUCACUACCAGAUGGACCUGCGUUGUAUUAGCUAGUUGGUGAGGUAACGGCUCACCAAGGCAACGAUACAUAGCCGACCUGAGAGGGUGAUCGGCCACACUGGGACUGAGACACGGCCCAGACUCCUACGGGAGGCAGCAGUAGGGAAUCUUCGGCAAUGGACGGAAGGCUGACCGAGCAACGCCGCGUGAGUGAAGAAGGUUUUCGGAUCGUAAAGCUCUGUUGUAAGAGAAGAACGAGUGUGAGAGUGGAAAGUUCACACUGUGACGGUAUCUUACCAGAAAGGGACGGCUAACUACGUG
rnacentral:rRNA from 1 species